rnacentral:lncRNA from 1 species
AGCAAGGGCUCGGGAAGUUGGCACGACAGAUGGAGACUAGAUGGUGCAGGGAGAGCACACUGCUUGUUGAGAGCACAGGAUGGGACUAAACCACUGAAGUUCCACCGGGGGAUUCUCAGGUGCCUGAGUAGCCUACAGAAGGUGCUGCUUGGUCUCUGAGUCACUGUCUCCCCUGUCUCGACCCCUGGCUCCUACCCCUCCUUGCGUUUGCUUUGGCAAGCAGGCCAGCCCAGAGCCACGUACUAUUUUAAUUCUGGAACAGUGCUGAAAUCACCAUCCCUGCUCUCCUCUGUCAUCCAUCUCAAUGGGAAGUGAAAUAUGUGACUGACUACUGUGGGGAUCCUCUCUGCUGUUUGCCUCUUGACCUUUGAACUGGCACCUGUGUGAACCUGUGUUCUGUCCUCAAGGUGGAAACGUUCUGGAAACAUUGUUGACAUGGUGUUAGGCCUCGCCUAGUUGUUGAUGUUGAUGUUUCGAUGCAAGCUGUUUGUCUGAGACCGAUAAAAGUUUUGUUUUAAGUCUAUUGAAACUGACAACCUAAGCCAUAUCUCCAGGUUUGAGAGCAUACUUUCUGAAAUAUCACACACACAUCUCAAGUUUCCUGUAUCUUGGUCCUGGAGGCUGAAGCUUGUGUCACCAUGGCGACGGAUUCUCCCAACCCCUCCCUGAGGUCCAGAGUUACCAUGACGACGGACAACGACUCCUACAUGAGCACGUCUAGCCUCCCCUGCUGCCACUUCCUGUCAGCUAACAUCAUCAACGUGGGACCUCGAGGGUUAAAGACACGGAUCCUCCUCCUCCAAUAUCUUCCGGAACGUAUGUUAUCAGAGUAA